CGUGCCUUCAGGCAAUGGCCACUCUGCUAGAGGUACAACGACCAGCCAACCUUCUGCUGAGCUUUUUUUGUUUUAAACUAUUAAAUAUGCACAUGCGUUAUACAAAAGGGGUUCUUUGUGCUUCAAAACAACAAUAUGACAGCGAUAUUUACUCUGCUCCAAUUGCUAAUCUGACAAGCUCCAUCUGGGAAGUGUAUUCAUGCAGCAGGCAAAGAAAUUCCCAACCACUAUCCACCACUCAAAGAAGCACGCUAAAAAUAGCACGCGAACCCUCUGGCUGUAAGAACCUGUUCAGAAGAUGAAAAGGGGUUAACCAUAAGGAAAGAUCCUUGAAAUGAUGAAACUACAUGAUAAAGGCAAAUAUAUUGAUACACACACAUCUUGGAAAACUCCUUACCAACCAUGUUUUCAUUGGAAUUCCUUAAAUUAUGGAAUAUAACCUCAAAGGGGAUUGUUUAUUCAAGGUUUAUGGAAACUCUAUUUACUUGUGGCUCGCAGAUGAAUUCUAAAUGAUGCUAGGAACGCCAAAUCCAAAAGAAAAGCCCAUGUGGAAAAAAGGUGGCAUUUAGGACUCAGACAGCCCACAUUAUAAGGAAAUCCCAGUGCUUCAGUGGAGAAUGAAUAAUUUCAUUAAGUCUUUCUGCUGGAAUGGGUCCUAUAGAAAAUUCAGAGCACACACUGACCAUGAAUCUUAUGAUUCUCAUCUCAGAGAGAGAAGAAAUUCUGUUCAAGGAGACAGACAAGAAAGCAGGCAAUAACAGGUGUGUGAAAUACUAAUCUUAAUAGCAGAAGGUAAUUUUCUGAGAACAGAGCGCAGAGUCGUUAAAUUGGAUGUGAAUACGAGGAGAGUAUCAGGAAGUGAGAUCUUAAAUGAAAGCUGAAGGCUUAGAAGAAAUUAGCCAAGGAGACGUGCAGGAAAAGACAAUCCAGGAAAAGAGAACUGACUGUGCAGAGAUCAGUCAACUGUUCAGCAGAGCUGGAAUGUGAAGUGGGAGAAUAUAGAAAGAAGCAAAGACAGAAUCCAGCACCAUCCAAUCAAGAAGGAUUUGUAUGUAAGGAAACUCCUUGCAAAGCAUCCAUGAAUUAAAAGAAAUUUUGUCCCCAAGACAACCUUCUUGUACAUAGAUAAAUUCCCAAAGAAUGGUAUUUGGAAGUUGAGAAGAGAUAUUUAGCUUAUUCAUAGCUAGAAGGUCAUUAAGGAGGCCUUGAUGCUAGACUUUGAAGAUGAGGUGGAAUUUAAAAGAAGAGGAUCAGCAAAAGGAAGUGUUGAAAGGCAUGAAAUUCUUAAUUGGACUUUUUUUUUCUUCCUUUUUUUUUUUUUUAAGACAAAGUCUCCGUCUGUCACCCAGGCUGGAGUGCAGUGGUGCGAUCUCGGCUCACUGAAGUCUUAACCUCCCGGGUUCAAACGAUUCUUGUUCCUCAGCCUCCUGAGCAGCUGGGAUUACAGGUGUGUACCACCAUGGCCAGCUAAUCUUACCUGGACUUUUAAAACUAUCUCUUCCUCUGACAAAAAUGAGUAUAAUUUCUCAAUUUCUAAACUUAAAAAUAUUGGGGAGGAAUAUACAAUUAGGUAAAAAGUAACAGACUUAAACUUUUAUAGCACUCAUAUUUCCCUCUCUCACAGGUUAUUUAGUAUAUUUUCUCAUUAUUUUGGUUAUAACUUAAGCCAGCAGUAAUCUUGCUUUUAACUUGAGUGUUGACCUAAAAUUUCCAGCUACACUUUCACUCGAACUUUAUACAAGUGAAUCUGAACUACAUGCGCCUUUCAAAUCUCUUAUACACAUUUUUCACGGCAUGUGGCCCUUACUCUGACACGUUGACACUUUACUUCAAACUUUACAGCCCACUGUAUUUUCAUUCACAAGGAAAUGUGUCUCACCAACAGGUUAUAAAAUCAAUACUCUUUUUCAUACACUUCCAGUAUAGCAGAGUUUAAUGUAAGUUAUUUUUCCCCAAAUUCUAGUCAAGACAUUUUAGCUAAAAAAGGUUUAAAUGGCAUUAUAACAAAGCACUUUCCUUAUCAGAUAGGUUAAAAUGACAUAUCCUGACAUAUUAUUAUCAAAAGGUUUUGUUCCUUGUUAUUACACAUUAUUUUUUCUCAGUAUGUAUUGCUGAAUUUAACCCAUAAUACGAACCAAAAAUACUGGUAACAACAUCUUCAAUUACGCCACUUAUCUCUUAUCUUGUAAGUUGGAAUUAGAAAAUCAGAAAUGCCCUGAAUUCUGAACAAAUAAUGAGAUUAGUUACGCAGUCAUUCCUAUGCUAAGCUAAUGUUGCUGAAAACCCAAGUACAACUGUGCAAAGGGUUUUUCACUGUUUACAUACAGACUGCACUGCCCUUCUUUAUUUUGACUAUUUGCACUUCCUAAAAAUUAAUGGUUUUAUUUCUUUUCUGUUCAUACAUAGUUAUUUCCUAUUAUUUCUAGCAAUCACUCUUUUUGAAAUACCAUGCGAGCUCCCUACUCAUGUCCAUAACGCAUGCCCAUUUUCAUGGUCUCUGCAUUUGACUACAACAGCUUGCCAAUUAAACUUUGCCAGGUCCCCACAUCUCAGUGUUCAAAAGAUCCUCUACAAUCCCACCUGCUCUGUGAAGCUUCUCAGCCAUAAAAAGCACUCACUGGGCCAUGUUUGUUCAGCCUUGUGCUGUACUUGCUUACAACCACUGGGCUAUAUCUUGUUUGCUGGAAAGCCGGUCUUUUCCCUGAUACGGCUUGCUUUGGCCCCAUUCUGCUUUUUUUAUACUAUGUGUAUUUAAAUAAUAAGACAGAAGCUGGUGAUCACAGGGGCCCUCAUUUCAGAUUAUCAAGUGUAAAUUAGCCAAGUGUUUUGAUAGCUCUUAAUUAUUGACAACAGACAGUCUCAUGGAAGAGCUUGCAUAAGCCACACGUCUAGGUAAUAUGAAACCUCGCUCCAGGCCUUGGCAAUUACAUCUCUGCUGAGAUAUGGGGCUGAGGGGUGUACUGCCAGGUGUCCACCACAUAGGACAGAAUUUGUGGAUUAGCAAAAAAAAGUGAGAGCUAAUGAGUUGCAAUGAGGGCUUUCAUUAGCAGUGUUGUAUUAGUGCAUAAUUUGGAGACCACUUUCCAAAAGGCUCUAAAAAUUGCCUGAGAAAUCACUGGGUGCACAAUAAAAAUUAUUGAGAGAAAGACGGCUGGCUUACUCAGACACUGCCAGAGUUUGUUUGUUUUGGUGUUCCUCGAGAGCCUUGGUUUCAUGCUCUGCUCUUCGCAGAAGCCUCUCUUGGGAAUAGGCUUUUCCUCUUUCCUCCUUUCUCCAUCAAUAUUCUCCACAAAUAAAGCACUGUAUAAUAGUUUUUUGUACUAAUGCUUAAGCCCUCCUCUUAUUUAACUUGCAGGUUUAUUAAGAUAUAAGAUGUCAAGAUGUUUCUGCUGAAUAAAAGAGAUUUUUUUUUGUUUAUAGUUUUCACAUGCACACAUACACACACACAGUUAUUGAGAAUGUCCCAUGAUUUACUUUUAUUACCCAUUUAUUCUUAAUGAUGUUAAUGUUAUCUUCAUUGUGCAUAAAAGGGAAGAG
rnacentral:lncRNA from 10 species